UACGUAGGGGGCAAGCGUUGUCCGGAUUUAUUGGGCGUAAAGAGCGUGUAGGCGGCUAGGUAGGUCCGUUGUGAAAACUCGAGGCUCAACCUCGAGCCUGCAUUCGAUACUGGGCGGCUAGAGUCUGGUAGGGGGAUCUGGAAUUCCUGGUGUAGCGGUGGAAUGCGCAGAUAUCAGGAGGAACACCGGUGGCGAAGGCGGGAUCCUGGGCCAGUACUGACGCUGAGGAGCGAAAGCGUGGGGAGCAAACAGG
rnacentral:rRNA from 1 species